AAAAUAAGCACUAUGGUCAUAUCAGCAAAUAGAAUGAAAUAAUCUAAGCUCUGGAGUAAUUGAAGAGCAGCAAGCAGAAAAUAACCCAUCAAUCAAAGACCACUAAAAGCAAUAUGGUCAUAUAAGCAAAUAGGUUAAGACUUUAUCUUUAUUUGCCUGUCUUUAGAUUAGUUUGUAUGCAUAUACUUGCAUAGUUUGUAAGUUUGUUCACUUUACUUUGUAAGGCAAUAGACACAUUGAAUAAAAAAAGACUUUUUUCAACAAA